UACGGAGGGUGCAAGCGUUAUCCGGAUUCACUGGGUUUAAAGGGUGUGUAGGCGGGCUCGUAAGUCAGUGGUGAAAUCUCCGGGCUCAACCCGGAAACUGCCAUUGAUACUAUGGGUCUUGAAUUUUGUUGAGGUUGGCGGAAUAAGUCAUGUAGCGGUGAAAUGCAUAGAUAUGACUUAGAACACCGAUUGCGAAGGCAGCUAGCUAAACAAAUAUUGACGCUGAGGCACGAAAGCGUGGGGAUCAAACAGG
rnacentral:rRNA from 1 species